GGGAGUUUAGCUCAGCUGGUUCAGAGCACUUGCCUUACAAGCAAGGGGUCAUUGGUUCGAAUCCAAUAACUCCCA
rnacentral:tRNA from 1 species